rnacentral:rRNA from 1 species
GGGGCAGCAUUCCAGUUUGCUUGCAAACUGGAGAUGGCGACCGGCGCACGGGUGAGUAACACGUAUCCAACCUGCCGAUAACUCGGGGAUAGCCUUUCGAAAGAAAGAUUAAUACCCGAUGGCAUAAUAGAACCGCAUGGUUUGAUUAUUAAAGAAUUUCGGUUAUCGAUGGGGAUGCGUUCCAUUAGGCAGUUGGUGGGGUAACGGCCCACCAAACCUUCGAUGGAUAGGGGUUCUGAGAGGAAGGUCCCCCACAUUGGAACUGAGACACGGUCCAAACUCCUACGGGAGGCAGCAGUGAGGAAUAUUGGUCAAUGGACGAGAGUCUGAACCAGCCAAGUAGCGUGAAGGAUGACUGCCCUAUGGGUUGUAAACUUCUUUUAUAUGGGAAUAAAGUGGUCCACGUGUGGAUUUUUGUAUGUACCAUAUGAAUAAGGAUCGGCUAACUCCGUGCCAGCAGCCGCGGUAAUACGGAGGAUCCGAGCGUUAUCCGGAUUUAUUGGGUUUAAAGGGAGCGUAGGUGGACAGUUAAGUCAGUUGUGAAAGUUUGCGGCUCAACCGUAAAAUUGCAGUUGAUACUGGCUGUCUUGAGUACAGUAGAGGUGGGCGGAAUUCGUGGUGUAGCGGUGAAAUGCUUAGAUAUCACGAAGAACUCCGAUUGCGGAGGCAGCUCACUGGACUGCAACUGACACUGAUGCUCGAA